GUUGCAUGAUCGGGCAAGGAAAUAUUUAUAGCUGUAAGAUAGGCAUGCGUCCCAUUAGCUGGUUGGUGAGGUAACGGCUCACCAAGGCAACGAUGGGUAGGGGAACUGAGAGGUUUAUCCCCCACACUGGUACUGAGACACGGACCAGACUCCUACGGGAGGCAGCAGUGAGGAAUAUUGGUCAAUGGGCGAGAGCCUGAACCAGCCAAGUCGCGUGAAGGAUGACUGUCCUAAGGAUUGUAAACUUCUUUUAUACGGGAAUAACGGGCGAUACGUGUAUUGCUGUGAAUGUACCGUAAGAAUAA
rnacentral:rRNA from 1 species